AUACGUAGGUGGCAAGCGUUGUCCGGAAUUAUUGGGCGUAAAGCGCGCGCAGGUGGUUCCUUAAGUCUGAUGUGAAAGCCCCCGGCUCAACCGGGGAGGGUCAUUGGAAACUGGGGAACUUGAGUGCAGAAGAGGAUAGUGGAAUUCCAAGUGUAGCGGUGAAAUGCGUAGAGAUUUGGAGGAACACCAGUGGCGAAGGCGACUGUCUGGUCUGUAACUGACACUGAGGCGCGAAAGCGUGGGGAGCAAACAGGAUUAGAUACCCUGGUAGUCCACGCCGUAAACGAUGAGUGCUAAGUGUUGGGGGGUUUCCGCCCCUCAGUGCUGCAGCUAACGCAUUAAGCACUCCGCCUGGGGAGUACGGUCGCAAGACUGAAACUCAAAUGAAUUGGCGGG
rnacentral:rRNA from 1 species